AAAAAAACUAACUAACGUGAAAAAAGGGGAAAACAAAAUCCAGGCGAAAACGAAAGAAACGGUCUUUGUUGAGUUGAUGGAGACGCAACUGCUACACCCAUCUUCUCUCAUCUCUAACCUACACGAUCUUCAACUUUCAUCCGCCAUUACAGUCACCUCACUUCUCUUCUCUUCAGAUGAUGAAGGUGGAGUGGAAUUGAUUAAUAUUUAAGAGUUUUUGAUGAUGUCGUUUGAUGGAGAUCAUAAGCAAUCUAUUACCUCUAAUUUCUCCCCCAAUCGAUAUUCACGUCAAUUGCAGUUGCGAGGUCGUUAGGAAUACAUGGAGCUUGCACUGGGAGGCACGGUCGUUGUGGACAAGGAUCA